CAAACGGUCGACAGUCAGGAUCGCCGUCCCGCCGGUGAACCCGUCCCCUCUCUCCCCCUCUCUUUCCCUGGACUGCUCCUGAAAGUUCUGCCAUGGAAGCAAGACGAGGCCAGGAGCUACGGAAGCGUUCGAGCUCUUGUCUUUGCGUCCUUCGCGACGCUUGCUAACACGAAGACCUGGGAUUCUUGGCGGCCGAUCAUGAUUCGCUUCGGAGCCCAGUUACAGCCGAUUGCUCCUUCCGCUUCUGCGUGCCGUUCGUUUCGGUUGAUUAUCGAAGCGAAACCUGUGGUUGCUAAUCAGGACAUGCACCAGCUCUGACUUUGAAUUAGGAGAUUGAGCGGCUAAAAGAGAGAAGGGCCAUUUAAUGGGAAAUGAACAGGUGAAUACUGCUUAUUUGUCUCCUCAGAUCGAUUUUGUCCAUGUCUGUACUUGCCAUCAGGUCAUGCCAUUGAUUGAUUAGGAUUUGUCUACUAUUUUUAUCUACCUCUGGGGUUGAUUUUGCCAAUGUUCAGUCAUCUUUCUUUCUUUCUUUAUAUGGCAACAAAUGGUUGUGGUUUUUGCAUCUGCCUUACAGAACUUAGUCAUAUUUUAGGUGCAUUUCUCAUCUAGUUUAAUGCGCCUGGUAUCCGCUCAAUCCUAUUUAGCAACGGUCAUCAAUUGUCAUAUAGGAUAUAGAAUAUCUUAUAUAUGGACAACCCAACAUGACUAUUAGGUUUGACUAUCCCUUUUGUUAAAGUACAUCUAGAGUUAAACCAUCUAAAAGGAUAUAUUUAGGGAACCGUUUGGGCCUUUUAGGCAUUACUUCUUUUGACCAUUUCUUAAUUGCACUACUCCUACUUGAAUUGCUAGUUUGCAUUUCUUCUUGACGCUAAUCGUUGUUAUCUGUUGAAGAAAUCAUGGUGGCAAGCCAAGUGAAGCCUAUGAAAAGCAUUUCUGUUUAAUCAGAUUGGUAGAGAUAUUAGCAAUGAAAAGUCAGUACCUGCUAGAUAAAAAGAUUAAGUGCUUUAAGCCAAACUCCAUUAAUGUAGGAGUUUUCUUACAUGGUUGGGUAUGCUUGGAUAAAAGAGGUAGGGAGGUGUGUGUCAGGUAGCUGACAAUGGGCACUCCUUUUUCUACAGUAGAAUCUCUAUGAAACCGAGUCCUAUUGUAAUAUUGUGCAAAAACUAGGUCAUCUCUUAGAAAUGACGCAGUGUGUGGGGUGAGCACAUGGAGGCAAAGAAACAGAAUAAGAAAGCUGCGAGUGCAACGAGGCUAUCAACAAGCAAUGAUGUUUAUAAUCUCUCGAACACCAAAGAAGAAGAUAAGUAUAUGCACAAGUAGGCUAGAGCAAGAAAAAGAAGGACGAGAGAUCUAGUUAGGCUGAGAUGAGUUAAGGACGAGGAUGAAAAAGCCCUAGUUGUAGUAGAAGCAGUUAAAAACAAAUGGAGUAUUUUUGUAAGCUCUUUAAUGGAGUGUCACGAGAAAUUCUAAACCGGGGGGAACUCCAUAAUUUGCAAGAGUGUAGGAACUCCUAUUGACAAAUAAGGGAAUGGGAAGUUUCUAGAACUUCGAUAAAGAUAAAGAAUCGUGAAGCAGUAGACCCAUGGUUACCCAUUGAAGUGUGGAAGGUUAAAGGCGAGAUCUCUAUAUCUUGGAUUGUCAACCUGAAGAAGAUGCAUAAAUGAAGGAAAAACACGUUUAUUUCUAUCUAUAAGAACAAUGGACAUCCAGGACUGGGCCAACUAUGAAUGGACUAGCUAAUGAGCCACAUCAAUGAAGCUUGGGGAGAGAAUCAUCAAGAACAUCAGUAGAGGUAACAGGCAUGUACUCUUAAGACAAUCAAGUGGGAUUAAUCCCAGAGAAAUGUUAGAGGAUUCUUGGAAAGGAAGGAGUACGGCCCUGGAGAAAAAAAUGGCUAAUUUUCCUGGAACCAUCAGGUAGGAACGGCCCCCUCCCAACAGUCCCUAAGAUGUGUUCUCCAAAUGUGGGCUCAUGAAAGCUAUAUGGGCUGUAAAUCAUGGAAGUCUUGAACUGUUGCCUUAAUGCCUACUAAUAUAUUUUCUGUGAACAUUAUACCUGUACCACAUCUGGUAUAAGUAGUCCUGCUUCGUCUUUCGUAAUCUCCUUGUGUUACUACCACCACACUGGAUCAGUGAUCUUGGAGCUAAAACACCCGACAAGUAGUACCAUAGCUGGUAUUAUUGGCUUUAUACGAGGAGAUUUUAUUAGUAUGUAGUCUGGAUGUCAUCUUGCGCUGAUUACUUGUUUUGCAGGGUUUUCCAACAGGGUUUUAUUAACCUGUGGAACUUCCUUUUCAUCCUUUUCCUGGGUUGAUCUCCUGUGUGGUUUUUCUUUAUGUUAGAAUUGUACUACUUUGUCAUCUCUAGUUAAAAUAAGACAGGUUAUUGUUGAACUCUUUGAUUAUCAUAGGGAACCAUUUUGGGUCUUCAGUUAAUUGCUGAGCAUUCAUAGUAAAUUCAAUAGAAGCUAUAGUUCUUUGUUUUUAUAUAAAUAUGGGCUGAUGAAGCUGGUAAACUUUUGAUUUGAAAUGCAAAUUAUUGCUGGACAGACAAUGAAACAUGUCGAUCAGGUUCAGUGGUGCCUGUGGGAGACCUUGGUUGUAGAUUCUCAAUUUGAAACAGUUGGGUUCAUGCCAAAUAUGUGGAGCAUGGUUUCAGGUAAAAGAUGUUGAUAAGUGGAAAACAAGUUGCUAGAUGGCAGCCGAAAAAUGUCUUCUGGCAAGCUUGAUGAUUUCUUGGAGGGAUGUAUUUGAUGAUCCCAAGGAUCCAGACACCGACCAAAAAAAGAAAAAAAAAAAGUCUACCCAAUGCACACAUACAUGCAUAUUAUACAAUUUACACUUUGUCAAUCUUAAGCAUGGUCUAAGUUCUUGACCUCUAUAUUUAUUGCUUUGGACAAACUAAACUCUGAAGACUGACUUUGAAGAAACUAACAUAGUUUGCAAGAACAUCUCACCAACACCACAUCCAUCAAGUCAUCUGAGUAUUUAAUAUGGACUGUUGUUUUCUAUUAUUAGGGUUGAAUGCUCUCUGUAUACAUGAUAUGUACUGCACGUGAGAUUGAGCUCCAAGUUUAUCAUGCAUGCUUUUAUGGUUUCACAAGCUUACUUGUUGUCUCUUUCACGACAAGCUUGCUGUCCUUUCUGUGCAUCUCUAAAGAUGGUGGAGGGAAUGCCAACUUUUUGAUUGAAUAUUUCACCUGUUUUUGAAUCCUCCGGUUGGUAAACAUUGGUUUAUGGAUUUCGAAUUAAUUUGGUGAGGCUAUAUCCACUGAAUCAUUUUCUUUUUUUGGCAAAGGGGCAGGGUAAAGGUUUGAUCGGAUUAUCUGCCAUUUAUGAUUAGUGUACAUAUAUUGACAUUAGGCAAAGGCUUCUGUUCUGGGGCAUCAGUAUGCAUUAAUUGAUAAUAGAUAUACAAGUGGGCAACAUCCAAUGCUGAUGGCAUGCCUUUUGUGUUUGGUGCUUUGAAAACCUCAUGUUCAUGGGGGCUUCUGUUAUAGCCAUUCUCACAAAGAGGUUGAUUCCUUUAUCUGUGAGCAACUUAUGCAGAUAUCACUGUUUGUCUCGCUACUGCAUUCUGGAUGUAUAAAAUUUCAUUGUGGCUUUGAUAUCCCAUAAGAGUUUAUACUGAAUAUAAGGCCGUCCUUGCAUCAUCAUGCAGAACUUGGUUAUAUGGAUGCUUGCAAAUUUAACAAGCAUACCAUUAAAAUGUUAUUAGUUACAAAUUCUGUUUUCACUAUGAAAUUCAUCAAUGGACUAGUUAUAUGAGGAUAUUUGGAAGGAAGAGUCCUGGCUGUUGUGAAAAACCCAUCACAUUGUUGGCACUUUCGCUUCUAGUACUUUAAGCAAGUGCUAAAUGAGGAAGUUUUACUUCUGAUAUUUGAUCUGAAUCUGUUACUUCUCUGGAUAUAUGUGUCAAAAAGCCUCGUCUUUAAACAAGCAUCUGAUGAGAAGCAAGGAGACUGAACAUUCUAAUUGUACCUCAGUAUUUUUGUGUGUUAAGUUCAUUCCCUUAACAAUUUCUAGUCCUUUGAAACUUGCAUUGCCAAGUUAAUUAAUUAGAGCUGUUGUGGUUAAGCCGUCUUUCUUUCUUGUGCUUUCAACCAUUCGAGUCGUUGAUUUUCAAUUUUUAAGAGCAGUUGGUAGUGUCUGGAGAAGUGGACCAUGGUCUUAGCAAAUUGGUGGUGAAAACUUACCAGCCCAUGCGGUGCAGCUAUGGAUCCUCUAUUAACUUUCAAGUCUCUUCGCUAUCGUCGAGUGCCCAAAAGGUGAGAGCCUCAGAAGAGGUAUUUUGUUGUAUCGAUUUGUUUGUAGAAAUUUGUCAUGGUAGAAAUAUGUUUUAUUGCUCAUACUUAUUUUUGUCGAUUGAGUCAUUUUCAAUAAGGUUUUCUAUCUAAAAAUUUGCUUUUUUUUUUUUCCAACUCAAAAUUAUUUAGUACCUGCUUUCUGCAUACUUAUUAUUAUUAUUAUUAUUAUUAUUAUUAUUAUUAUUAUUAUUAUUAUUAUUAUUAUUAUUAUUAUUAUUAUUAUUAUUAUUAUUAUUAUUAUUAUUAUUAUUAUUAUUAUUAUUAUUAUUAUUAUUAUUAUUAUUAUUAUUAUUAUUUUGACAGCAUAUUCUGACAACAGAAUUAAAAUUUGGAUUAUCAUUAUAUGUGCAAAGAUACAUGAGUUUCGUGAUAGUUGUUAGAACAAUAAAUAGUAGCACAGGAUUGAGGUAUCUUUACAAUCAGAAUUGUAGUAGUACACAUUUUGCAUGUUGGGAAUUGUGGAAGACAAACUAUGCGGGAAGCAAUGAUCUUCACGUGCUUGAUGGCAACUCGGGUAUGGUUGUAUAAUAUGCUUGGUGGGGUAUACUUUCCACAAAGAAAGAAUUUCUCAUUAAAAGAUAGAUGCUGCUUUCUGGGACUCUCAAACUUCUGCCUGAUCAGUGAUCACCGUUGAUUAUUAAGUGAAAUAGAGAGUUGCAGAUCCGGGAAAUACUCCCACAGCUGCUUCUUCACCAACCAAAAAAGCUGCUGGUGGUUGGGAUAUAUUCUCCAGAAAGUAUCAUUUUCCUUUUAAUGUAAAUGUCAUUACGCAUGGGUUGCCAAAUCAUGGAAUUGGAAUCUCAUGCAUUUCUUUUCCAGCGAAUUUGUUGUAUGAAUAUGGUCAAUUAUGCUUGGUGGUUAACAGCUUGCACAUAAGUUGUGCUGCUUGAGACCUUGAUAGAGACAAUAUUUGGUGCUCUAAAAUUCCAAAAAGCUUGAUUGAUCAUGGUGGAAGGCCAUUGGCGAGCUUUCCUUUUCCUUCUUGCUUGCAUCUGAAUCCUGGAAUAAGUUCUUUUGUUAAUGCACUUAAAUGUAUCUACAGGAGCAUGUCUUGCUUUCCUGCUCCUGAGAAUUAUUACUGUGACAUGCUUUUUGGUUACUGUAUCAUAGCUGCUCAAGUCUGAAUUUCUAUUUAACCUAUGAAGCUGUUAAAACUUUUCUUUUAUUUCAAGUAUCUUCAUUCUUAUUGGGUUUAAACUGAAGUCGACCUGAAAGAACGAAGCAAUAAGUGCUUGAAUGUUUGUAAUACAUAGGUCGAGGGGGCUGUUGGGCAUAUGUGACUUUAAGAAAUCUUAGAUUACCUGUACAGUGUAUUUAAAGUGAAAGAAAUGUCAGGCGUUUAUUUUUUGGUAUGAUGGGUCUGUUCCAAGUUCAGGCAUCAACCUUUUCAAGAAAAGUUGGGGGGUGAGAACCGUAGGAAUGAGGGUAUAGAAUCUGUGAAUUUGGUUCUAAUCUUGAAGGGCAUAACCUUUUAAUUAAUGUCAAAUCCUUGGCAGGUCCUGUCACUUCUGUAUAUCCUUUUCGCAUUGAGAGUUGCAUUACAGUGUCUAAGUACUUUGUUUGCUAGGAGGCAGAAGAAAUUCGGUCUGAUGGCCACUAUGUGAUAUUUUUCUUUUUUGGCUGCAAUGUGUCUUUUUGAUGCAAGUGCGAAGGCAUCUCCUCCAUGUGAUCCUAGAGCUUGUCCCUUUCCAUGAAAACAGUCUGGGGGGUCUGCCCUCUUCUGCUAGCCCCACUUCCCCAAUUGGGGAUGAUAAAACCCAAGAUGGACCUUUUUCACUCAUAUUAAUCAGUGUCAUGCCUUUUAUGUCUACUCAUGUUAGCUCCUAUAUUUAACCAAAAUGAGCAGGCAUUAUUGAAUAAUUAGAGAAUGACUGACGUGCUUAUCUCACUAAAUCUGGACCAUUUUGUUCUUCUUCCCUUGUUUUUAACCUUCAUGUCACUUAGCUCUCAAUCUCCAUGUAGAGCCACUCAGUGAGCUGGAGACACAUGGACACUGACAUACAGGAUGUGGAUUUCAGAAAAGCUAUUUCUUAUUCAAGGAAACAGAGGCGAAACUGGUGCUUGAAGCUGCUCUGUCUGAGAUAAAAGGCAAAUAAAAAGUGGAGCUGCUUUUUUAGCUUAUUGGGGCAGGAGAUGGUGGUGGGAGAGGGGGAAGGGAUUUCUGUUUCUUUUUGCUCAGAAGACAGCCAUUUUUUGGCCCUCCUUCUGAGAGACAGUCUCUCCUCUGUUGUGAGUGAAGGGAUACAGAUUAAAUGGUUGGAGUGGGUGCACGUAAACUCCCCUGUUUUGCUC